rnacentral:rRNA from 1 species
UGAGGAAUAUUGGUCAAUGGGCGAGAGCCUGAACCAGCCAAGUAGCGUGAAGGAUGACGGCCCUACGGGUUGUAAACUUCUUUUGUGCGGGAAUAAAGGAGCCUACGUGUAGGCUUUUGCAUGUACCGUAACGAAUAAGCAUCGGCUAACUCCGUGCCAGCAGCCGCGGUAAUACGGAGGAUGCGAGCGUUAUCCGGAUUUAUUGGGUUUAAAGGGAGCGUAGACGGGUUUUUAAGUCAGCUGUGAAAGUUUGGGGCUCAACCUUAAAAUUGCAGUUGAAACUGGAGACCUUGAGUACGGUUGAGGCAGGCGGAAUUCGUGGUGUAGCGGUGAAAUGCUUAGAUAUCACGAAGAACCCCGAUUGCGAAGGCAGCCUGCUAAGCCGCCACUGACGUUGAGGCUCGAAAGUGCGGGUAUCAAACAGGAUUAGAUACCCUGGUAGUCCGCACGGUAAACGAUGGAUACUCGCUGUUGGCGAUAGACGGUCAGCGGCCAAGCGAAAGCGUUAAGUAUCCCACCUGGGGAGUACGCCGGCAACGGUGAAACUCAAAGGAAUUGACGGGGGCCCGCACAAGCGGAGGAACAUGUGGUUUAAUUCGAUGAUACGCGAGGAACCUUACCCGGGCUUGAACUGCAGUGGAAUUAUCCGGAAACGGAUAAGCGAGCAAUCGCCGCUGUGGAGGUGCUGCAUGGUUGUCGUCAGCUCGUGCCGUGAGGUGUCGGCUUAAGUGCCAUAACGAGCGCAACCCUUGCUGCCAGUUACUAACAGGUCAUGCUGAGGACUCUGGCAGGACUGCCAUCGUAAGAUGUGAGGAAGGUGGGGAUGACGUCAAAUCAGCACGGCCCUUACGUCCGGGGCUACACACGUGUUACAAUGGGGAGUACAGAGGGCAGCUACCGGGCGACCGGAUGCGAAUCCCGAAAGCUCCUCUCAGUUCGGACUGGAGUCUGCAACCCGACUCCACGAAGCUGGAUUCGCUAGUAAUCGCGCAUCAGCCACGGCGCGGUGAAUACGUUCCC